rnacentral:rRNA from 1 species
GACAGAGGCCUCAAGCGUUAGGCGGAAUCACUGGGCUUAAAGCGUGUGUAGGCGGAUCGUUAAGUACCUUGUGAAAUCCCACGGCUCAACCGUGGAACUGCUGGGUAUACUGGCGAUCUUGAGCCACCUAGGGGCGAGCGGAACAAGCGGUGGAGCGGUGAAAUGCGUAGAUAUCGCUUGGAACGCCAAUGGGGAAAACAGCUCGCUGGGGGUGUGCUGACGCUGAGACACGAAAGCCAGGGGAGCGAGCGGG